UAACCUGCCCACUGAUAAAUUUUUUAAAGGGCCGCGGUAUCCUGACUGUGCAAAGGUAGCAUAAUCGUUAGUUUUUUAAUUGGAAUCUUGUAUGAAUGGUUUGACAAAAGAAAAUCUGUCUUUAUAAUUAUUUAUUGAAUUUAACUUUUAAGUGAAAAGGCUUAAAUAAAUUAAAAAGACGAUAAGACCCUAUAAAGCUUAAUAUUAAAUUUUUAUUUAAUUAAAUUUUGAAUUAUAAUAAAAAUUUGGUAAAUAAAUUUUAUUUUGUUGGGGUGAUAAUGGUAAAAUGAUUAUUAACUGUUAAUUUUUUUAGACAAAAAUAAGUGAAUAAGUGAUUUAUUAAUAAAGGAUCCUGUAUUAAAGAUUAAAAGUUUAAGUUACUUUAGGGAUAACAGCGUUAUUUUUUUUGAGAGUUCUUAUCGAGAAAAAAGUUUGCGACCUCGAUGUUGAAUUAAAAUAUCUAUAUAAUUGUAGCAGUUAUAUAAGAAGGUCUGUUCGACCUUUAAAAUUUUACAUGAUUUGAGUUCAGACCGGCGUAAGCCAGGUCGGUUUCUAUCUUUUAAUAUUUAAAAAUUAUUUUAGUACGAAAGGAUUGAAUAAUUAAAAUUAUUUUUAAUAAUUGGAUGAG
rnacentral:rRNA from 1 species